CGGUCGCAAGGCUGAAAACUCAAAGGAAUUGACGGGGGCCCGCACAAGCGGUGGAAGUAUGUGGUUUAAUUCGAAGCAACGCGCAGAACCUUACCUGGGCUUUAACAUCCCCUGACACCUACAGAGAUGUAGGGUUCCCUUCGGGGACAGGGUGAUAGGUGCUGCAUGGCUGUCGUCAGCUCGUGUCGUAAGAUGUUGGGUUAAGUCCCGCAACGAGCGCAACCCUUGUCCUUAGUUGCUACCAUUAAGUUGGGCACUCUGAGGAGACUGCCGGUGUUAAACCGGAGGAAGGCGGGGAUGACGUCAAGUCCGCAUGGCCCUUACGUCCAGGGCUACACACGUACUACAAUGGCAGAGACAAAGGGUCGCGAAGCCGCGAGGUGGAGCCAAUCCCAAAAACACUGUCUCAGUCCGGAUUGAAGUCUGCAACUCGACUUCAUGAAGCUGGAAUCGCUAGUAAUCGCAGAUCAGCACGCUGCGGUGAAUACGUUCCCGGGCCUUGUACACACCGCCCGUCACACCACGAAAGUGGUCAUACCCAGAAGCAGGCGAGCUGACCGCAAGGGGGCAGCCUACCAAGGGUGUGGCCGUGAUUGGGGUGAAGUCGUAACAAGGUA
rnacentral:rRNA from 1 species